AUCGACAUCAAUGGCGUCCAAUUCCAUUGAACCCCAUCAUUCUCCACCACCACAAACCCCCAUUUUCCCCUUUCCGUACAUCCAAUCAAUCCUCCAAAUUAGGGUUUUCUUUUGGGAUCAAUCCACCCUCUCAAAACCCUAAUCUUGGACCCUUUUCUUCAAUUCUCCAUUUCAUAUAAUCAAUCAUCUCUACAUGAACAUCGUUUGUUGUCUUUAUUCACGUGUACGUAUACCUAUAGAUACAGAUUCCUGUACGUAUUGUUGUAUGUAACAAUAGUUUGUUCGGUAUGAAGCAAUCCAAGAAGAAGAAAAGACCUAGACCUGGACCUAAACCCCAUGUUUCCAAACCCAAUCAAUCAACCGGAUCUCAAAACCCUAAUUCCGACCCGAUUGAUGAUCCGGGUCAUGAUCAAAUUAGGGUUUUGAACAGUUUAACCCAAAACCCUAAUUCUGACCCGAUUGAUGAUCCGGGUCAUGAUCAAGUUAGGAUUUUGAACAGUUUAACCGAUUCAAUUGCUUCGGUUUCUCUAAACUCAACCGAUACAGGUUCGGGUUCGGGUUCAAGUGUUAAUAGGGAAGAGGAUGGUAUAGAAAUGUUUGGGAGUUUGACGGAGACCUGUUCGAGCUCGAGUGGGAGCUCGGGUUUGUCGAAUUGUGACGAGUAUAAUCGGGCGGGUAGGGGGAAGGUUAAUAAGGGGAGUAAAGUGGUUGCUGCAACUGGAAUGGUGUCUAGUGUGUUGGGGAAGGAUUAUGUGUUUGGGAAAAGAGGGGUUAGUAAGUUGAAGGGGUUGUCGGGUGAUGGCGGCGGUGUGAGUUAUGAUGAUGCGGAGCAGUUUUUGUGUUCGAUGCUCGGUGAUGAUUGUGAAUUGGGCAUGAGCUUGGUUAAAGAUGUGCUUUGUCAAACUGCUUAUGAUGUUGAAAAGGCUUUGGACAUACUGCUUGAGUUAACUGGUUCACCCUCAUCCGAGCUCUCCGAUACCGGUUCGCAUCAAAACUUAAACGUAGAAAGUAAAGAUACUAGGUCUCCUCUAAAAUCAAGUGCUAGUUUGACCUAUAGGACAUCUGAUUUGGCUUCCUCUUCCGAGACUGAUCUCAACGUGGGCUUUGACCGCAGGAAUUACUUCGAUGUUCUUGCUGGUUGUGGGCCCCAACCGCCAUCCGGCACCAAAAACACAUCCGAACUGACUCACGAAGUGUUGGAAUCUCUUUUCAACGCACCGAAAAGUUCGAAACACGAACCGGGAAGCAUGAACUGGAGGAACGUAGUAAAAAAGAUGGAAUCACUCGGCCAGGGCCUCGAUUAUUCUCCUGAAGAUACUGUAAAAAAACAGCAUAUUCCCGCUAAAGGAGACGAUUAUCAGGACUAUAGAACUACGGCAAGUCAGCACUGGGAUUCGAUGAAGUCCUAUUAUCACAAGGCUGCAACUGCGUAUGCAAAUGGAAAACGUGAAUAUGCUGCAUAUCUCUCUGAUCAGGUCCCAAAAGCCGAGGCGCGAACUUCACGUACUUGUGGCGUUGCUACAUAUCAGCAUUGACCCUGAUUUUGACCCGCAUGUGCAUGAAGUGCCGCCUCAAGUCCUUGAGGGAAGGAUAUAUAAUGAAAAGGCUCGGCAAGCGGAUGAAAGGGCAAGCCAGGAUAUAUUCAAUUCAAGGAACAAAGACAUUGAAAAUGUGAUAACAAUCGAUCUACACGGACAACAUGUGAAACAAGGAAUGAAGCUUUUAAAACUUCACCUUUUAUUCGGUGCAUAUGUUCGAUCUGUGCGGCUCUUCAGAGUUAUCACAGGAUGUGGGAGUCAUGGUCUUGGAAAGUCAAAGAUUAAACAGACGGUUGUGAAUCUGUUAGAAGCCGAAAACAUUGAAUGGAAAGAAGAAAAUAGAGGAACUUUGUUAAUCAAACUAAAUGGGCAGAGAGAGUUCAGCUUCUUGGACUCUGGUAGCGACAGCGACUAAAUUUUUUUCUUUCGAUUAUCUUUCCUGACCGAAACUUUGUACGAGUGUAUGUUAAAGGAGAGAUAGAUGUGACUUUAGAGGUGAGUUAAUCUUCUCAUGAGAUUAUGUUGUUCGUUGAAGAUAUUGUAAAUUAAGCACAGAUUAGUUGUGUAGACUUUGGAUUAGUUGUAAAGUAACCCGACUUUUUAUGUAUUUAUGUAAGCGCGAAAAGUGCUUCAUUUUGUAUCA